rfam:TPA: Bos taurus chromosome 13, whole genome shotgun sequence.
UCCCUGGUGGCUCAGAAGGUGAAGCGUCUGCCUGCAAUGUAGGAGACCCAGGUUCGAUGCCUGGGUUGGGAA